UUUUGGUUGAUUUCUCCUGACGUGGAUGCUAGUCUCAUAGAUUUAGCCAUGCAUGUGUAAGCGAAGCGAUUAGUGGAGCGGCGGAAGGCUCAGUAACGGGCGAGUAUUUAAUCUCCAGAACCGGACAACCUCAGGAAACAGAGGGGAAAACGGAGUAAAAGCAUGUUUUAUGCAUGUGAUGAUAACGAUAGUGCAGGAGAGUAAGAAGCCACCCCAUCAGUUAGUAAGUAGGGUAAGGGCCUAUUUAGACAUAGACGGGUACGGGGGAUUAGGGUUUGAUUCCGGAGAGGGAGCCUGAGAGACGGCUACCAGGUCCAAGGACAGCAGCAGGCGCGAAAAUUACCGAAGCCUCCAAGAGGGCGGUAGUGAAGAGACGUGAAUUUAAGUGUGUGUAAAAAGCACGCGAGUAACUGGAGGUCAAGGCUGGUGCCAGCAUCCGCGGUAAUACCAGCUCCAGGAGUGUCUAUGAUGAUUGCUGCGAUUAAAAGGUCCGUAGUCGAAGAACAAUACUUGUUUGUAAUGUGGUCUAUCAAGGACCAAAUAGAACGAGAAGAGUUCUGAAUAGGAGCGAAGGAGGGCUAGAUUAUUGAGCAGCGAGAGGUGAAAUUUGAUGACCUGCUUAGGAGUAACAGAGGCGAAAGCGCUAGUCAAGAGCGAAUCCGAUGAUCAAGGACGUAGGCUGGAGGAUCGAAGACGAUUAGAGACCGUAGUAGUUCCAGCAGUAAACGAUGCCAACGCUGUUGUGGAGGUUGCACGACAGAAGAGAAAUCUAGUAGGGCUUUGGGGAGAGUACGCGCGCAAGCGAUAAAUUUAAAGGAAAUUGACGGAAGAACACCACAAGGAGUGGAGUGUGCGGCUUAAUUUGACUCAACGCGGGACACCUUACCAUACCCGAUGACCAUGUGAGCGUUGUACGCGAUAGGUCAAAGAGUGGUGCAUGGCCGUUAACGACGAGUGGGGUGACCUUUGGGUUAAGUCCGCGAAGUAGUGAGAUCCCUAGGAUAGCUUUAGCUUAUCGACAGGUGUUAAAGACACAGGAAGGAAGGGGCAAGAACAGGUCAGUGAUGCCCUUAGAUGGUAUGGGCUGCACGCGCACUACAGUGGUUGCAACAAGUAUUUACAGUGCCAAUUGCAAUCGAGAGGGAAUGAGCACUGAAAUGUGCACAGGAACGAGGAAUUGCUAGUAAUCGUUGUCUCAUUAAGAAGCGAUGAAUGUGUCCCUGUUCUUUGUACACACCGCCCGUCGUUAUCGAAGAUGGAACCAGGCGCGAACAAGUGCGAGCGAGUGAGUGCAGGGUUCUAGAUCUGAUACAAGUCGUAACAAGGCAGCUGUAGGAGAACCUGUAGCUGGAUCAAACAAACAAAACAACCAACAAAAUGAAUUUAUGAACCACACACAAGGGAUCGUUAGGCUCCUGUGGCGAAGAAGGGCGUGGCAGCAGACGAAAUGUGUGGGAGCAGCAAGCUAUGACCACACGUCCCCGAAUACAACCAUUGGUUGGAAUACUCCUUGGAAUUAAGCAUAUGAGUAAAGGAAGGAAAAGAAACUAACAAGGAUUCCCACAGUAGCGGCGAGUGAACAGGGAAGAGUCCGUAAGUGUAAUUCUAGAAAUAGAAGUUGUCAAUUACGAGUGUGAUGAACCAGAAAGAAAAGCUGGACUAGAGAGGGUUAUAGUCCCGUAGUCAUACUAUCUACGUGAGAGUAGCUGUGCUCGGUAAUGCACAGUGAAGAGGUGGCAGUGUUCAUCUAAGACUAAAUACAACAGGAGACCGAUAGCAAAUAAGUAGGUUGACCGAAUACGUGAAAUUGUGUGUGGACCCGAAUGGAUCGGGCCCGUCUUGAAACACGGACCA
rnacentral:rRNA from 1 species